AGAGGGUGCAAGCGUUAAUCGGAAUGACUGGGCGUAAAGGGCACGUAGGUGGAUGAUCAAGUCAGAUGUGAAAUGUCCGGGCUCAACCUGGGAGCUGCAUCUGAUACUGUUUAUCUAGAGUUUAGUAGAGGAAAGCGGAAUUUCCGGUGUAGCGGUGAAAUGCGUAGAUAUCGGAAGGAACACCAGUUGCGAAGGCGGCUUUCUGGACUAAAACUGACACUGAGGUGCGAAAGCGUGGGGGGAGCGAACAGGAUUAGAUACCCUGGUAGUCCACGCCCGUAAACGAUGAGAACUAGCUGUUGGAGUGCGACGAUACUCUUGUAGCGAAGUGAACGCGAUAAGUUCUCCGCCUGGGGAGUACGGCCGCAAGGCUA
rnacentral:rRNA from 1 species